GUGGGGAAUAUUGCGCAAUGGGGGCAACCCUGACGCAGCGAUGCCGUGUGAGCGAUGAAGGUCUUCGGAUUGUAAAGCUCUGUCAGAUGGGAAGAAAGGUGCAGAUCUUAACAGGGUCUGUAUUUGACGGUACCAUCAAAGGAAGCCCCGGCUAACUCCGUGCCAGCAGCCGCGGUAAUACGGAGGGGGCGAGCGUUGUUCGGAAUCACUGGGCGUAAAGGGCACGUAGGUGGCUUGAUAAGUCAGGCGUGAAAUCCCAUGGCUCAACUGUGGAAUUGCGUUUGAUACUGUCGAGCUUGAGUACAGGAGAGGAGAGUGGAAUUCCUAGUGUAGCGGUGAAAUGCGCAGAUAUUAGGAGGAACACCAGUGGCGAAGGCGACUCUCUGGUCUGAUACUGACACUGAUGUGCGAAAGCGUGGGGAGCAAACGGGAUUAGAUACCCGAGUAGUCC
rnacentral:rRNA from 1 species